AUUGAACGCUGGCGGCAGGCCUAACACAUGCAAGUCGAACGAGUGGCGGACGGGUGAGUAAUGUCUGGGAAACUGCCUGAUGGAGGGGGAUAACUACUGGAAACGGUAGCUAAUACCGCAUACCAUCGGAUGUGCCCAGAUGGGAUUAGCUAGUAGGUGGGGUAAAGGCUCACAUAGGCGACGAUCCCUAGCUGGUCUGAGAGGAUGACCGGGCACCCUGGAACUGAGACACGGUCCAGACUCCUACGGGAGGCAGCAGUGGGUAAUAUUGCACAAUGGGAGCAAGCCUGAUGCAGCCAUGCCGCGUGUAUGAAGAAGGCCUUCGGGUUGUAAAGUACUUUCAGCGGUGAUGCGUCACCCUCAGAAGAAGCACUUGCUAACUCCGUGCCAGCCGCCGCGGUAAUUC
rnacentral:rRNA from 1 species